UAAAGGAUAUAACAAGAAGAUCAUUCAUGCAUUAAAAUUUAAGACUAUUAAUUUAUAUCAAUCAAAACAUGAAUGCCUAAGCACUUAGAAAAGGAACCAAAAAAAAAAAAAGGAAUAGUUAAUGAUGAAAUCUAAAAGCCAGGGAACAAAAUAACACCUUCUAUACGCCUGUUCUAUGAACUAUCAUCUCAUGUAACAAUCUUCAUUCCACAAAAAUUGCACUAUAAUGCUGAACAAAGUACGAGCACAGUAGUAUUUCAUCAUGCUAAAUAGCAGCAGAGGCAAAUAAAGAUGACACGAGUAAAUCUAGACAUCUUUCCAGACAUUGAAAUCGGUAGCUGAGCUGUUAUAGUUUAUAACACUGUCUUGGCACCCAAUAAAAUAUGUACUAAGUAUGGGAUCUACAUUUGCCAAAAGGUGGGCAGUUCUGCUUGGACUAGCCGCAAUAGCGAUUUCAUCUGCAUCAACAAUUACUUCAGCAUAACCUUUAUCAACAAUCUGGUUGUUUUCCAACUGCAAAUGGUUGAUGAGAAAAAUGUAAAGAAACCAUGUAGGAAAAAUGACAACUGCACAAUAUCCAAGACAUUUCAAUUCAUGCAUUCAUAUUAUUCAUGCUAUUUUCCUUUCAAAUAUCUUUUUUCACUCUCCUUUCAUUAUGUGAUAAACUGGUCAGUAUUUGAACAAAGCAAUAAAGUGCAAUAACAAAAGAAUAGAUUCUGAUUUUUAUGCAUCUUUGGCAAAUGCAAACACGUUAGUCUCCCUCUUAAAGCCCAUAAACUCAGCAUGCAUAAGAUCAAGGAAAUGCAGACAUUAUAACAGCUGCACCAUCAUAUCACAGUUUGAAUAAAAUCUUGUGGAUUAUGAAUAACAACAUAAGGCAUUCUUUUCUCAACAAUUACAGUUACUGAAUGCUCCCUUUCGUGCUAAAAAGAAGUUGCACAAAAAACAAAUUGAGACCCAAAGAAAGCCCCUCCUGCCAAAAGGUCAACUUGUUAUGAAGAUAAAGCUCAAACUUUCAUAUUCUCACUGAAGAAGCAACUAGCACUAAAAAAAAGGGGAGACUUCUAAGGCACUAGAACAUAACAUGAUGAUAUUUCUGGUAAAAAAAAAAAUCACGAUGAUAUCAAACAACCCUAGCAUAUUCCAAACCAAAGUUUUUUACCAUUUUAAUUGGCAAAUUUUAUCAGUCAUUUUUCAUUAUAGAGAAGAUAAUGAAUACCCUAAACAGUGUUUUGGCACCCCAAAUGACAAAUGUCUCAUUGCAAGUGUAGUGUCUGUGAUUUCCCCUCAAAGUGCCAGGUCGGAUUUCACCAACAUGUAAUGAGGCACAAGAUAAUGCUCCACCUCUAAUGCUAGAGUCCAGAGCAAGAGAGACAGGAUCGAAAAUCCAACCACGCUUUUCUUUGAUGAUGGGAGAAGGGAACAACCCAGAUUUGAAUCUGAUCAAAUUGGCCUUCUUAUCAUCAUCUUUGCUCCAUUUCCUCUCUUGGGUUCCUUGAAGAUUAGCAGAAGAGAAAUGGGAAGUAUGUUGAAGUCUGAGGGAAACCCAUGUCAGCAAGAGAAAGAUUAAAAGCAAGAAAGGGAAGGCAUGUGGCUUCUUCAAGAAAUGUUUUAUAGAUGACAAUCGUGAGAGGUUUUGGACCUGAAAUUGGUUCUCUGAGCUGUUUGAGUAUGAGUUCCUUCUAGGGUUUGCCAUUGGUCUCCCUCUGCUUCUGAUGUCUCCUAUUUCCAACCGUGACCUAUGCGGCG
rnacentral:misc_RNA from 1 species